GGUUAAGCGACUAAGCGUACACGGUGGAUGCCCUGGCAGUCAGAGGCGAUGAAGGGCGUGCUAAUCUGCGAUAAGCGCCGGUAAGGUGAUAUGAACCGUUAUAACCGGCGAUACCCGAAUGGGGAAACCCAGUGUGACUCGUCACACUAUCAUUAACUGAAUCCAUAGGUUAAUGAGGCGAACCGGGGGAACUGAAACAUCUAAGUACCCCGAGGAAAAGAAAUCAACCGAGAUUCCCCCAGUAGCGGCGAGCGAACGGGGAGGAGCCCAGAGCCUGAAUCAGCAUGUGUGUUAGUGGAAGCGUCUGGAAAGGCGCGCGAUACAGGGUGACAGCCCCGUACACAAAAGCGCAUGUGCUGUGAGCUCGAUGAGUAGGGCGGGACACGUGGUAUCCUGUCUGAAUAUGGGGGGACCAUCCUCCAAGGCUAAAUACUCCUGACUGACCGAUAGUGAACCAGUACCGUGAGGGAAAGGCGAAAAGAACCCCGGCGAGGGGAGUGAAAAAGAACCUGAAACCGUGUACGUACAAGCAGUGGGAGCACCCUUUGGGUGUGACUGCGUACCUUUUGUAUAAUGGGUCAGCGACUUAUAUUCUGUAGCAAGGUUAACCGAAUAGGGGAGCCGGAGGGAAACCGAGUCUUAACCGGGCGUUAAGUUGCAGGGUAUAGACCCGAAACCCGGUGAUCUAGCCAUGGGCAGGUUGAAGGUUGGGUAACACUAACUGGAGGACCGAACCGACUAAUGUUGAAAAAUUAGCGGAUGACCUGUGGCUGGGGGUGAAAGGCCAAUCAAACCGGGAGAUAGCUGGUUCUCCCCGAAAGCUAUUUAGGUAGCGCCUCGUGAAUUCAUCUCCGGGGGUAGAGCACUGUUUCGGCUAGGGGGCCAUCCCGGCUUACCAACCCGAUGCAAACUGCGAAUACCGGAGAAUGUUAUCACGGGAGACACACGGCGGGUGCUAACGUCCGUCGUGAAGAGGGAAACAACCCAGACCGCCAGCUAAGGUCCCAAAGUCAUGGUUAAGUGGGAAACGAUGUGGGAAGGCCCAGACAGCCAGGAUGUUGGCUUAGAAGCAGCCAUCAUUUAAAGAAAGCGUAAUAGCUCACUGGUCGAGUCGGCCUGCGCGGAAGAUGUAACGGGGCUAAACCAUGCACCGAAGCUGCGGCAGCGACACUGUGU
rnacentral:rRNA from 1 species